rnacentral:rRNA from 1 species
GACGAACGCUGGCGGCGUGCUUAACACAUGCAAGUCGAACGGAAAGGCCCUGCUUUUGUGGGGUGCUCGAGUGGCGAACGGGUGAGUAACACGUGAGUAACCUUCCCUUGACUUUGGGAUAACUUCAGGAAACUGGGGCUAAUACCGGAUAGGAGCUCCUGCUGCAUGGUGGGGGUUGGAAAGUUUCGGCGGUUGGGGAUGGACUCGGGGCUUAUCAGCUUGUUGGUGGGGUAGUGGCUUACCAAGGCUUUGAUGGGUAGCCGGCCUGAGAGGGUGACCGGCCACAUUGGGACUGAGAUACGGCCCAGAGUCCUACGGGAGGCAGCAGUGGGGAAUAUUGCACAAUGGGGGGAAGCCUGAUGCAGAAACGCCGCGUGCGGGAUGACGGCCUUCGGGUGGUAAACCGCUUUCACCUGUGACGAAGCGUGAGUGACGGUAAUGGGUAAAGAAGCACCGGCUAACUACGUG